rnacentral:rRNA from 1 species
GACGAACGCUGGCGGCGUGCUUAACACAUGCAAGUCGAACGGAAAGGCCCUGCUUGCAUGGUACUCGAGUGGCUAACGGGUGAGUAACACGUGGGUGAUCUGCCCUGCACUUCGGGAUAAGCCUGGGAAACUGGGUCUAAUACCGGAUAGGAGCCAUUUUUAGUGUGAUGGUUGGCAAGUUUUUUCGGUGUAGGAUGAGCUCGCGGCCUCUUAGCUUGUUGGUGGGGUAAUGGCCUACCAAGGCGGCGAAGGGUAGCCGGCCUGAGAGGGUGGACGGCCACAUUGGGACUGAGAGACGGCCCAGACUCCUACGGGAGGCAGCAGGGGGGAAUAUUGCACAAUGGGCGCAAGACUGAUGCAGCGAGGCAGCGUGGGGGAUGACGGCCUUCGGGUUGUAAACUCCUUUCGCUAGGGACGAAGCAUUUUGUGACGGUACCUAGAGAAGAAGCACCGGCUAACUACGUG